rnacentral:lncRNA from 1 species
UGGAAGUAGGCAUAGUUAAACAGGAGAGAGACCCUAAAAAUCUAAUAUUCUUCAAUCAAGGCACCAAAAACAGAUCUUGAAAGAUAAGAAAGAGGCGAUCUCGACAAUCUAAAUUGUUAUCUGAAAGGAGACGUGUCACCAUGUGUGGCGGAAAAGGGAACAUGUCCACAACUUCAAAAGGCACGUGAGAGUACAUACAACUCCGAGAAAAGUGUUGUUGAGAGCAAGAUGGUCGUCUAGCCGAGACAAUUAAAAUUGAAUGGUCACUAGCCAAAAUUGAUGCUUUGAUGAUGGUGACAGAUGGUGACAACGAUCACAAUGGGCAAUAUCGAUAAGAAAUUUUUCUCCUAAAAGAAUCUGACUCUAAAUAUUAUGUUACAUAUAGUAAAAUC